ACAUCCAGAGAACUUGGCAGAGAUGCCUUGGUGCCUUCGGGACCUCUGAGACAGGUGCUGCAUGGCUGUCGUCAGCUCGUGUUGUGAAAUGUUGGGUUAAGUCCCGNGACGAGCGCAACCCCUAUCCUUUGUUGCCAGCGAUUCGGUCCGGGAACUCAAAGGAGACUGCCGGUGAUAAACCGGAGGAAGGUGGGGAUGACGUCAAGUCAUCAUGGCCCUUACGAGUAGGGCUACACACGUGCUACAAUGGCGCAUACAAAGAGAAGCGACCUCGCGAGAGCAAGCGGACCUCAUAAAGUGCGUCGUAGUCCGGAUCGGAGUCUGCAACUCGACUCCGUGAAGUCGGAAUCGCUAGUAAUCGUAGAUCAGAAUGCUACGGUGAAUACGUUCCCGGGCCUUGUACACACCGCCCGUCACACCAUGGGAGUGGGUUGCAAAAGAAGUAGAUAGCUUAACCUUCGGGAGGGCGUUUACCACUUUGUGAUUCAUGACUGGGGUGAAGUCGUAACAAGGUAGGCGUAGCGAG
rnacentral:rRNA from 1 species